CAGUAGCCGCGGUAAUACGUAGGGUGCGAGCGUUAAUCGGAAUUACUGGGCGUAAAGGGCUCGCAGGCGGUUUCUUAAGUCUGAUGUGAAAGCCCCCGGCUCAACCGGGGAGGGUCAUUGGAAACUGGGAAACUUGAGUGCAGAAGAGGAGAGUGGAAUUCCGCGUGUAGCGGUGAAAUGCGUAGAGAUGUGGAGGAACACCAGUGGCGAAGGCGACUCUCUGGUCUGUAACUGACGCUGAGGAGCGAAAGCGUGGGGAGCGAACAGGAUUAGAUACCCCGGUAGUCCCUGUCUCUUAUAC
rnacentral:rRNA from 1 species